GGUGUUGGGGGGAGAGGUGGGGGUGGGGCGCGGGGGCGUGGUCCAGGCCCUGAGGGGUGGGCGGGCUGAGGCCGAAGCCGCAGUGACCGCGGUACCAAUGCGGGGUACGCGAGUCACCGAAGAGACUGGACGCAGAAACCAGAGAGAGGCUGAUGGCAUCGCGGCCCCCUUCCGCCCCCGCGCCCCACGCGGCACCGCCCUCCUCCACGCGCCUCUCAGUCCCCUUGGCGCCGCGCGGCCUGCCGGGCUCUCCAUGGCCUCCCUGGCAUCUGCGCCUCGCACCUUCCCUCCCGCCGCGCUGGAGGCUGCACGGAAGGCAGUCUGCUGCAUGAGAAUGGAGACCCGCCUGCUUCACUCCCUGCAGUGCCCAGUGUCUGGAUCCCACCCAGCACACAGUAGGGCCUCAGUGAAUGUGUGCUGAGUGUGUAAACGCCGUAGGCCACUGACAAGCAUCUUCCCUGAAGUGAUGAAACAGCCCUGUCCACGGCGCCCUGCUCCUCCGCUCCUGACCCCCGUGGUGUGGCCCCGCGUGGUGUGGCCCCCCCCGUGGUGUGGCCCCGCGUGGUGUGGCCCCGCGUGGGGUGCCAUCCUGUCUCCAGUCCGGUGAGUAGAAGCUGCCUUUUCAAUGGCAGUUGUCCCUGAUCUUUUGGCCUUCCUGAACCUCAGGUUUCCUGCUAAUAUAAUCUAUUUCACACCAGGCUGCGAGACACUUUGCAGACAGUCAGAGUAGACAAAUGAAGAACAAGUGUCCCGUGUACCUUUUUCAGCAUCGUCAACGAGUUUAAUAUUUUAAUGUAGAUUAGAAUUCCUUUUCCCCAUAAAGUCACAAGCUCCUUGAGG